rnacentral:rRNA from 1 species
CCUACGGGUGGCAGCAGUGGGGAAUAUUGCACAAUGGGGGAAACCCUGAUGCAGCGACGCCGCGUGAGUGAAGAAGUAUUUCGGUAUGUAAAGCUCUAUCAGCAGGAACGAGACAAGACGGUACCUGACUAAGAAGCCCCGGCUAACUACGUGCCAGCAGCCGCGGUAAUACGUAGGGGGCAAGCGUUAUCCGGAAUCACUGGGUGGAAAGGGAGCGUAGACGGCUGAGCAAGCCUGAAGUGAAAGGCGGGGGCCCAACCCCCGGACUGCUUUGGGAACUGUACGGCUGGAGUGCAGGAGAGGUAAGUGGAAUUCCUAGUGUAGCGGUGAAAUGCGUAGAUAUUAGGAGGAACACCAGUGGCGAAGGCGGCUUACUGGACUGUAACUGACGUUGAGGCUCGAAAGCGUGGGGAGCAAACAGGAUUAGAUACCCCUGUAGUC